rnacentral:rRNA from 1 species
CACGUAGGGCGCAAGCGUUGUCCGGAAUUAUUGGGCGUAAAGAGCUCGUAGGCGGUCUGUUGCGUCUGCUGUGAAAACCCGGGGCUUAACCCCUGGCUUGCAGUGGAUACGGACAGACUAGAGGUAGGUAGGGGAGAAUGGAAUUCCCGGUGUAGCGGUGAAAUGCGCAGAUAUCAGGAGGAACACCGGUGGCGAAGGCGGUUCUCUGGGCAUUACCUGACGCUGAGGAGCGAAAGUGUGGGGAGCGAACAGG